AUACAGUAUGGGCAAGUGUCUCUAGAUAUACACAGAGAUUGAGAGAUUUAAAAGGUCUCUUACUCAGACAGACGCUGGUGUUGGUGUUGAUGUUGAUGUUGAGGAAGCAACUCGGUUUUCAGGUGGGAUUUCUGUGAAUUCAGAUAGGAUUGCUCGGAAUUCAUCACCCGACAUUGUCUCUUUCUCAAGAAGUACUUCAACAAUCUUGUCCAU